rnacentral:rRNA from 1 species
UACGUAGGGUGCGAGCGUUGUCCGGAAUUACUGGGCGUAAAGAGCUCGUAGGUGGUUUGUCGCGUUGUCCGUGAAAACUCACAACUCAAUUGUGGGCGUGCGGGCGAUACGGGCAGACUGGAGUACUGCAGGGGAAACUGGAAUUCCUGGUGUAGCGGUGGAAUGCGCAGAUAUCAGGAGGAACACCGGUGGCGAAGGCGGGUCUCUGGGCAGUAACUGACGCUGAGGAGCGAAAGCGUGGGGAGCGAACAGG